rnacentral:rRNA from 1 species
GAUUACGUCCCUGCCCUUUGUACACACCGCCCGUCGCACCUACCGAUUGAAUGAUUCGGUGAAAAUUCUGGACUGUGGCUCGGACGCCUUCGGGCGACCUUGCUGUGGGAAGUUAUUUAAACCUCAUCAUUUAGAGGAAGGUGAAGUCGUAACAAGGUUUCCGUAGGUGAACCUGCGGAAGGAUCAUUACCACACCCUCAAAUA